ensembl:misc_RNA Metazoa_SRP Metazoan signal recognition particle RNA
GUUGGGCACAGUGGCACGUGCCUGUAGUCCCAGCUACUCUGAGGCUCAGGUGGGAGGACUGCUUGAGCCCAGGAGUUCUGGGCUGUAGUGCACUAUGCUGAUCAGGUGUCUGCACUAAGUUUGGCAUCAAUAUGGUGACCUCCCGGGAGCAGAGGACCACCAGGUUGCGUAAGGAGCAGUGAACCGGCUCAGGUCAGAAACGGAGCAGGUCAAAACUCCCGUGCUGAUCAGCAGUGGGAUUGCGCUUGUGAAUAGCCACUGCAUUCCAGCCUGGGCAACAUAGCAAGACCCCAUCUCUA